AGAGUUUGAUCCUGGCUCAGGAUGAACGCUAGCGGCAGGCCUAAUACAUGCAAGUCGAGGGGUAACAGGAAGUGCUUGCACUUCGCUGACGACCGGCGCACGGGUGAGUAUCGCGUAUACAAUCUGCCUCAUACUAGGGAAUAGCCCGAAGAAAUUUGGAUUAAUGCCCUAUAGUAUCUUUUUAAGGCAUCUUAUUAAGAUUAAAGGUUACGGUAUGAGAUGAGUAUGCGUUCUAUUAGCUAGUAGGUGUGGUAACGGCACACCUAGGCUACGAUAGAUAGGGGCCCUGAGAGGGGGAUCCCCCACACUGGUACUGAGACACGGACCAGACUCCUACGGGAGGCAGCAGUAAGGAAUAUUGGUCAAUGGACGAAAGUCUGAACCAGCCAUGCCGCGUGCAGGAUGACUGCCCUAUGGGUUGUAAACUGCUUUUAUAUAGGAAGAAAAACUUUCUCGUGAGAAAGCUUGACGGUACUAUAAGAAUAAGGAUCGGCUAACUCCGUGCCAGCAGCCGCGGUAAUACGGAGGAUCCAAGCGUUAUCCGGAAUCAUUGGGUUUAAAGGGUCCGUAGGUGGACAAAUAAGUCAGAGGUGAAAUCCUGCAGCUCAACUGUAGAACUGCCUUUGAUACUGUUUGUCUUGAGUUAUUAUGAAGUGGUUAGAAUGUGUAGUGUAGCGGUGAAAUGCAUAGAUAUUACACAGAAUACCGAUUGCGAAGGCAGAUCACUAAUAAUCAACUGACACUGAUGGACGAAAGCGUGGGUAGCGAACAGGAUUAGAUACCCUGGUAGUCCACGCCGUAAACGAUGGUCACUAGCUGUUUGGACUUCGGUCUGAGUGGCUAAGCGAAAGUGAUAAGUGACCCACCUGGGGAGUACGUUCGCAAGAAUGAAACUCAAAGGAAUUGACGGGGGCCCGCACAAGCGGUGGAGCAUGUGGUUUAAUUCGAUGAUACGCGAGGAACCUUACCAGGGCUUAAAUGUUAGGUGACAGAUCUAGAAAUAGAUUUUUCUUCGGACACUUAACAAGGUGCUGCAUGGUUGUCGUCAGCUCGUGCCGUGAGGUGUCAGGUUAAGUCCUAUAACGAGCGCAACC
rnacentral:rRNA from 1 species